rnacentral:misc_RNA from 1 species
CCACAUUAAUCUUCAAAAAUACCAAUACAGAAGCAGCCGAAGCAGUCCCUACAAGUGUGCACAUCAUAUUCUGUUCUAGAGAUGUAGCAUAAAGCAGUGUCUCACCAAACAUUGCAGUUUAGAUCUAAUGAUUAUUAAGCUUGUUCUCAUAUGAGGCCAAGCUUCUAUUAGAUACACCCCAGAGUAAAAGCUCAUCUAAACCAAGACAGAUAUCCAAGAAGUUUAGACAGCUGGAAUUGACAGGUGGUUUCUUUCUUUCCUUCUUCCUUCUUUUCCCCAAAGUUAUAUAAUAAACAUAAGUUAGAUACUUUUCAUUCUAAUUGAAAUGUGUAAAUCCAGUGUAUCAUAUAAGCAAAUAUUAAUCAAUGAAUUUUAUAUUUACAGACAUAGUUGCCUCCACCACCUGUCCUAAAGUAA